rnacentral:rRNA from 1 species
GAUGAACGCUGGCGGCGUGCCUAAUACAUGCAAGUCGAGCGAACGGACGAGAAGCUUGCUUUUCUGAUGUUAGCGGCGGACGGGUGAGUAACACGUGGAUAACCUACCUAUAAGACUGGGAUAACUUCGGGAAACCGGAGCUAAUACCGGAUAAUAUUUUGAACCGCAUGGUUCAAAAGUGAAAGACGGUCUUGCUGUCACUUAUAGAUGGAUCCGCGCUGCAUUAGCUGGUUGGUAAGGUAACGGCUUACCAAGGCAACGAUGCAUAGCCGACCUGAGAGGGUGAUCGGCCACACUGGAACUGAGACACGGUCCAGACUCCUACGGGAGGCAGCAGUAGGGAAUCUUCCGCAAUGGGCGAAAGCCUGACGGAGCAACGCCGCGUGAGUGAUGAAGGUCUUCGGAUCGUAAAACUCUGUUAUUAGGGAAUAACAUAUGUGUAAGUAACUGUGCACAUCUUGACGGUACCUAAUCAGAAAGCCACGGCUAACUACGUG